rnacentral:rRNA from 1 species
UACGUAGGGGGUCCUAGCGUUGUCCGGAUUUAUUGGGCGUAAAGAGCGUGUAGGCGGCCAGAUAGGUCUGCUGUGAAAACUCGAGGCUCAACCUCGAGCUGUCGGCGGAAACCAUUUGGCUAGAGGCCGGAAGAGGAGAGUGGAAUUCCUGGUGUAGCGGUGAAAUGCGCAGAUAUCAGGAAGAACACCUAUGGCGAAGGCAGCUCUCUGGGACGGUACUGACGCUGAGACGCGAAAGCGUGGGGAGCGAACAGG